AACUAUUUUUCAUGUCAACUUUUUACCUUUAAUCAUAAAAUCUUUUAGAUCAUAUCUAAAUUUUCAUCAUUUUAAAUCAAAAUAAUUUUGAUUAUUAAGAUUAGAUGUAACUACUUUUCUUUGCAACUUGCAUCACAUACAACAAAUCCUAAGUUUUCAAGAUCUAAAAUUUUGAAAGAAGUAAGUUUUCUUUUCACUUUCUUCUUUAUAAGACCUCACAAUGGCAUCCCUACACACCAUAAGAGCACCACAUUAAAUGGAAGGAGAGGAUUAUGUAACCAUACUUGCUCU
rnacentral:lncRNA from 1 species